GACGAACGCUGGCGGCGUGCUUAACACAUGCAAGUCGAACGGAGUGGCGAACGGGCGAGUAACACGUGGGUGACCUGCCCUGCAAUUCGGGAUAAGCCUGGGAAACUGGGUCUAAUACCGGCCAGUGUGGGAUGGGCCCGCGGCCUAUCAGCUUGUUGGUGGUGGAAUGGCUUACCAAGGCGGCGAGGGGUAGCCGGCCUGAGAGGGUGGACAGGCACAAUGGGACUGAGGCACGGAGCAGAGUCCUACGGGAGGCAGUAGUGGGGAAUAUGGCACAACAAGCGGAAGCCUGGGACAACGACGCCGGGUGGGUGAUGACGGCCUUCGGGUUGUAAACGCCUUUCACCAUCGACGCGGUAGAUGGAGAAGAAGGACCGGCUAACUACGUGCCAGCCGCCGCGGUAAUUUC
rnacentral:rRNA from 1 species